rnacentral:rRNA from 1 species
UGGGGAAUAUUGGGCAAUGGGGGAAACCCUGACCCAGCAACGCCGCGUGAGGGAAGAAGGUUUUCGGAUUGUAAACCUCUGUUCUUGGUGAAGAGAAGAAGACGGUAGCCAAGGAGGAAGCCCCGGCUAACUACGUGCCAGCAGCCGCGGUAAUACGUAGGGGGCGAGCGUUGUCCGGAAUGAUUGGGCGUAAAGGGCGCGUAGGCGGCUGUUCAAGUCCGUAGUGGAAGUCCAUUUUUCAAGGGUGGAAGUGCUAUGGAAACUGAGCAGCUUGAGUGCAGGAGAGGUUAUCGGAAUUCCCGGUGUAGCGGUGAAAUGCGUAGAGAUCGGGAGGAACACCAGUGGCGAAGGCGGGUAACUGGACUGCAACUGACGCUGAGGCGCGAAAGUGUGGGGAGCAAACAG